rnacentral:lncRNA from 1 species
UUACAGCUUCCUCAUGAUGCAUCUUACAACAAUCUGAGCUGUGUGGUCUCUGCCAGCCCCUCCAACUACUGGAAAGAGGUUCAAUUCAACACCUUCCAGUGUUCGGUCUCUUUUCAGGUUAUUGAGCGCUCUUUAAUUUGUCUGGGUAUUUUUGCCUUUUUCAUCGUAAAGCUUCUGAUCAUCCUUGGCCUAGUUUUGGUAAGAGUCUUAUAAAUCUCUGUUUGGAGUGUGCAUUUGAAAAAGCAUAUGCACAUUAGUGGUAGGGGAAAAGAUUGAAAGAGGACGGGAACGGAGUUUCUGUCCUGUAGAUCAGUAAAAAAUAAUAAUAAUAAAAAAAAACAGUAUAAACUGGAUUUGUUGGUAGUGUAACCAGAGAUAAUUGUUAAAGAUCUGGGGCUCUAUUUUACACCCUGUGCAUGGCAUGUUGCAAUGCUUAUUGCUAUCUUACCCCCCACCAACAGUCUAUUUUCAUGCCUUCUGCCUGCGUCAUUAAAUAGUGAUUGACUUUAGGAAUAUAUCUACGCAGAUGGCCAUGGUGAUCUGAAAAUAAGGUGUGUUCAGGUACAUUUUUGGUGUAUUGCUAUCUUGGUGGUGCACAGAAACAGAUGGGCUGAUGUCCAUUUAUAUCUUAGCUUUGCAGGUGCGCUGCGAAUUCUCAGCACCUAUAGAUCGCUAAAUUAGGGCACCUGGAUUGUAAAAUAAAGAAGUAGGAGCGAUCAGAACACCUACAGAAUCCAGCAGCAUGCUUUCAGUAUUAGUGAGCUGAAUGAUAGUUCUGUGUUUAGAUUUGUGUGGAAUGUGUGGGCCAAUAGAUAACUGAGAGCAAAAAAGGGGAUUACAGAUGUGUCCAGACACACAGUCCAGUUCAGUACAGUAAUGAAUGUUUUUUUUUAUUCACAGUUCAUUAAACAAUGCUGCCAGCACAUCUGAAAUCUCAACACCAAGGGAAGAGAACAACCCCAAAGAAUAUGAAGAAGAGGAAAAGCGAAAAGUGGCUUGUAUGUGAAUGUUGACCAACUUAUGACCUGAUUUAGACCUGAGAUUUAAGACUUACAAAAGUGCAGUGUUUAAAGGAAGUG